rnacentral:rRNA from 1 species
GACGAACGCUGGCGGCGUGCUUAACACAUGCAAGUCGAACGGAAAGGCCCUGCUUGUGUGGGGUGCUCGAGUGGCGAACGUGUGAGUAACACGUUAGUAACCUGCCCUUGACUUUGGUAUAACUUCAGGAAACUGGGGCUAAUACCGGAUAGGAGCUCCUGCUGCAUGGUGGGGGUUGGAAAGUUUCGGCGGUUGGGGAUGGACUCGCGGCUUAUCAGCUUGUUGGUGGGGUAGUGGCUUACCAAGGCUUUGACGGGUAGCCGGCCUGAGAGGGUGACCGGCCACAUUGGGACUGAGAUACGGCCCAGACUCCUACGGGAGGCAGCAGUGGGGAAUAUUGCACAAUGGGCGGAAGCCUGAUGCAGCAACGCCGCGUGCGGGAUGACGGCCUUCGGGUUGUAAACCGCUUUCGCCUGUGACGAAGCGUAAGUGACGGUAAUGGGUAAAGAAGCACCGGCUAACUACGUG